rnacentral:rRNA from 1 species
UGCGUAGGGGGCGAGCGUUAAUCGGAAUUACUGGGCGUAAAGCGUGCGCAGGCGGUUCGUUAUGUCGGAGGUGAAAUCCCCGGGCUUAACCUGGGAAUUGCCAUGGAAACUGGCGAACUGGAGUGCGGCAGAGGGGGGUGGAAUUCCGCGUGUAGCAGUGAAAUGCGUAGAGAUGCGGAGGAACACCGAUGGCGAAGGCAGCGCCCUGGGCUAGCACUGACGCUCAGGCACGAAAGCGUGGGGAGCAAACAGG